rnacentral:lncRNA from 10 species
UCCCCGAUUGGCUACAGAAAGAGCGACGCGCCCAGGGACUCUAGGGGCCGACUUCGGGCCCCUCACUAGCGCCUGCAGAGCUGCGGUCCCUGUGCGCGGGAUCGCGUCGGGGGCGGGGCGGCGACAGGCCUUCAACGUCAAACUGCUGACGGGCGCCGUUACGACCCGCGCUCCCGUGCGCUCCUCAAAUUCUGAGACGCGUGGCUGGAGAGCGGGCGGCCCUGGCCCCGGAGAGCCGUGUUCCCGCGGGAUCUCGUCGCGGGCGUGAGGCGGGGCCGGCCUGGGCCGGUCAUCCCUGGCUGGCGCGACCCGCAGCCUGUCCGGGAAGCCGUUGCGACAUGCGGGCUGGGAACCGCCUCACCUCCAGGGGGGACCGCGGCGGCCCGCUAGACUCUGGUCGGGUCUGGAGUAUUGGGCCCUCUGGCCGGACUCGGUGCUCCUCAGGCCCCAGCGCCCGGCACUGAGCCUCGCAUCCACAUUCGCAGAGUAAACCCAACAAGUGUUGAAUGAAUGAGGUUCCCCGGGCCCCGGCUGUCACUGGGCUCUGCGCCAGGCCAAGAGCCGAAGGCGGGGGAGGAAGAUGUCGAAAUGGGCGGGAUGAUUCACAGAUGACGGCCGGUGGCGAGGCGGGGCUGGAGGCCGCAUCCCAAAGGCAGCAGGGAAGUGCGGCGGCUGUGGGGAAGCUCGGACGCACGGCCUGGCCGAGUCUGAAGCAUCAGUAUUUUGUCCCUGAGCCGGCGCGCUGAUGGGUCCCCCGCCUGGCGAUGAGGGCUUCUCCCUCCCUCGGGUCAGCCCGGGUCCUGAGAGGCAAGGCCAGCGAUUCCCGGCCUUAGGACCUCCUGCUCUAGGGAGCACGGGCGUCUUCUUCCAUUUGCCUUCCCCGAGCGUGUUGGCACAAGCUGCCCGCGGUUUCCAGCUCUGUCUUCUCUGUUUUACCCAGAUGAUGCAACUGUGGACUUCUCCAUCUGUUCAUAGGUUUUCCUUGGAUAGGAAAGAUGUUUUCCUUUUUUCUUUCUAAAGUUUAGCUCUUCUCUGGGCUUCCUUUUUAAAAACUUUUUCUACUCUCUUCAGCAGUUGUUAUUAACCUUUAGGUCGCGACCGUUUGGAAAAUAAUAAAACUACGAAUUCUCUUCUCCUACUUCCACCUCCCAUCCCCUGUGUGCACUCAAAAUUUUGCAUAUCAUUUCUGCGUUUCAGAGUCCCUGAAGGUGCCAUGUGGACACCCUAGGGGUCCAUUAACCUGGUUAACCUCUCCCUGGCCGGCGCAGUGGCUCAUGCCUGUGACCCCAACACUGUGAAGGCCGAGGUGGGACGAUUUAUUGAGCUCAGGAGUUCGAGACCAGCCUGGACAACAUGGCAAAACCCCGUCUCUACAAAAUAAUAAAUACAAAAAAGUACAAAAAUUCAAAAAUUAGCUGGGUAUGGUGGUGUGCACCUGUAGUCUCAGCUACUUGGGGGAGGAUUGCUUGCGCCAGGGAGGUCGAAGCUGCAGUGAGCCGUGUUCAUGCCACUACACUCCAGCCUGGGUGACAAAGCAAGACUUUGUCUCAAAAAAAUUUUUUUAAAAGGAACUUCUCCCCCACAGCAUGUUCAGUCUCUCCUUUUCUCUAGCAUAUUUAGCUUGAGAAAUGAAUAGGUCUCACAAAAACCCAUUCAAUCCUGCUAGAGUACUAAUUCCCUUUACUGCCAGAUUACUCCACUAAUGACCUAUCCACCUCUAUGUCCUUUCUCUCCUUAAGCUCUUUACAUUUUUCACUCUUUUAUUCAUUGGUCAUAAAUGACCUUUCCAAAUCCAUCGGUCUUUUUCCUAUUCCCGUUUUUCUUAACAGAGAUAACACUUGCCGCCACACCACAUUGGCACUUUUUAC